UUAGUGUCAGGUCUUUAGGAUUUUUUUAAAAUUGCCUAUACACUUCUUCAUAUAGUAUUAUGACACCUACAUUUAUACAUAUUUUCGUUGGAACCCCUCUGUAUAAAUGGGCUGUGGACUGAGUUGGGAUAGUCGCUGACAAAUGGGGGACGACCAUAUGGUUUGUGAUUCUGACCCUUACUUUACUUUCAUCUCUCUUUAUUGGGAUGUUUGGGAUUAACGGGUUGAGAUUCCUGCAAUACUUUUCUUCAUUUGGGUCUUCUCAAGUUCAGUUUUUUUCACCCUUGGGUUGAUCAUAUUUAGCUUGAGUUUGUUUUUUUACUUGUUUUGGAUGUGGAUUGAGUUCAGAGGAUGUGUGCAAAGAAGUUGAAUGUGGAAAGGGGGCCUGCAAGCCUUCUAAGAACAGCACUUCCUUAUAAUCCUGGUUGAAAGCAAUCUCUCUCUUCCCAUACUCAGCAUGGAAGCCCCUGCCCCUGCUCCACACAAAGAAAGAAGAUCCAAUGAAUCAGUGUUUGAUGGUAACAGACAGAAAAAACUGCUGCCAUCAAAUGUUGCUGUUCAAUUUCUUUUCGUGUUUAUAUCCUUUUUGAUCAUGUAGCUUGCUUUUGGGUUGAUUGUGGAGGUGGGUCAUGUAACAAGACAUCACCCUUCUCCUACAGUUGCCAUUGUGAUGUUGGAUAUUACAAUAUUCUCAAUGGUCAAUGCCACUGCCUCCCCUUGUGUCAAAUAAUGUGCUAUUGGCAUUGAUUGCUCUAACCUGGGAAUUUCAAUGACGAACUCAUCUACCACAGCAACGCCACCAACAUUGUCCGCGAGCGGUAAGAAUGAAGUUAAGGUCAAUGCUCUCUGGUAAAAUCACAAAUAGGAGUUGCAUAACUUGGCUUUAUCAAUUGUGAUUCAGCUAAAGAAAUUUCAUGGAAAAUCAAGCGCUUAUUCUAAGUGCUUUCUCAUCUGAAAUCAGCAUUCUAAACCAACUAUUUAUUGCUACAUAGUUGUUUAGGCUGCUUACAAUUUUGUUGAACCUUGUCAGUUAUUACCUUCUCCUUGAUUUUUUGGGUUUGCAGCUAGCUCAACUCUCCAAGGAAGCUGUAUUGGGUUGCUUAUGUUGAUAAUGUUCAUGGCUAGUAUAUAAUUGCAUUAGGGCUUUUUGUCCUUGAUCUUAAGACUUAAGAGUCUCUCAUUCUUAUUUUGGUCGGUGAACCCUGCAUGUUACUGAUCCCUGAAUAAUGCCACACUGAGUUCAAUCGCAUGAUUAUUGUAAUGUUAUUGACACGGAAGCUAAGAUUAUAGGUUAUGGAAGUUGCAUCUUUCAUAUCUUUUUUGUCUUGUUGUUUCAUAGUAUUUACAAGAAAAAAUAUUAUUAUUCCAAACAGAUAUAUUCAGAACCUUUGCUCA